rnacentral:lncRNA from 1 species
UUAGGUACACCAUUUUUAAGUUUCAAUCCAACUUCAAGUCUAUAAAGGUAGGCUUUACUUCUCAUUGCUGCAGAAAGUUCUCAAGUUUUAUUGGCUUUGUUUCUCAUUGUUGCACUCAUUAGCGGUAAUGGGAGAGCAGUAAACAGAGUGGCAACAUGCAGCAGUGUGCUUGAAUGUCCUUGCACUUGGCCAAGUAUAAACAGUGGAGGUAUCACAAAGAAUAUAGAGCUUGUUGCGCUCUGCAAUUAUAUGAGUUCUGUGAGGAACGAGAAACCGGGUGAUAUUUAUUGGUUGACCAUUCUCAUUGGACAGGGUUGCACCCUCGCGGUACAUGUUAAGGCGACUAUUUGGUCAUGUCUAAACAUGGAUAGCAGUGUUAUGGAACUGAGAAGAGAUCAGACGUUUGUGGACCUGAUGACGG